rnacentral:rRNA from 1 species
GACGAACCGUGCGAACGUUGUUCGGAAUUACUGGGCGUAAAGGGCGCGUAGGCGGCCUUCUAAGUCAGACGUGAAAUCCCCCGGCUUAACCUGGGAACUGCGUCUGAUACUGGAGGGCUUGAGUGCGGGAGAGGGAUGUGGAAUUCCAGGUGUAGCGGUGAAAUGCGUAGAUAUCUGGAGGAACACCGGUGGCGAAGGCGGCAUCCUGGACCGACACUGACGCUGAGGCGCGAAAGCUAGGGUAGCAAACGGG